rnacentral:rRNA from 1 species
CCAAUAGCGUAUAUUAAAGUUGUUGCAGUUAAAAAGCUCGUAGUUGAAUUUCGGGGUCAAUACGUCUGUCGUGCCUUCGGUACGUACGGGUGUAAUUGGUUUCUACCUUCUGAGGAUCCUUGAUGUCAUUAAUUUGGUGUCUUGGGGAAUCAGGACUGUUACCUUGAAAAAAUUAGAGUGUUUAAAGCAGGCAUACGCUUGAAUACAUUAGCAUGGAAUAAUGAAAUAGGACGUUCGAUUCUAUUUUGUUGGUUUCCAGGAUCGACGUAAUGAUUAAUAGGGAUAGUUGGGGGCAUUAGUAUUCAAUUGUCAGAGGUGAAAUUCUUGGAUUUAUUGAAGACUAACUACUGCGAAAGCAUUUGCCAAGGAUGUUUUCAUUAAUCAGGAACGAAAGUUAGGGGAUCGAAGACGAUCAGAUACCGUCGUAGUCUUAACCAUAAACUAUGCCGACUAGGGAUCGGAUGAUGUUAAUUUUUUAAUGACUCAUUCGGCGCCUUACG